rnacentral:rRNA from 1 species
GUGGGGAAUAUCGGACAAUGGGCGCAAGCCUGAUCCAGCCAUGCCGCGUGAGUGAUGAAGGCCUUAGGGUUGUAAAGCUCUUUCGUCAGGGAAGAUAAUGACGGUACCUGAAGAAGAAGCCCCGGCUAACUUCGUGCCAGCAGCCGCGGUAAUACGAAGGGGGCUAGCGUUGCUCGGAAUCACUGGGCGUAAAGCGCACGUAGGCGGCUUUCUAAGUCAGGGGUGAAAUCCUGGAGCUCAACUCCAGAACUGCCUUUGAUACUGGAGAGCUUGAGUUCGGGAGAGGUGAGUGGAACUGCGAGUGUAGAGGUGAAAUUCGUAGAUAUUCGCAAGAACACCAGUGGCGAAGGCGGCUCACUGGCCCGAUACUGUCGCUGAGGUGCGAAAGCAUGGGGAGCAAACAGGAUUAGAAACCCGAGUAGUCC